UACGUAGGUGGCAAGCGUUGUCCGGAUUUACUGGGCGUAAAGAGCGCGCAGGCGGUCGAGUAAGUCGAAUGUGAAAGCCCCCGGCUUAACUGGGGAGGGUCAUUCGAUACUGUUCGACUUGAAGGCAGGAGAGGGCCAGCAGAAUUCCCGGUGUAGUGGUAGAAAUGCGUAGAUAGUCGGGAGGAAUACCAGUGGCGAAGGCGGCUGCCUGGCCUGUUCUUGACGCUGAGGCGCGAAAGCUGGGGGAGCAAACGGG
rnacentral:rRNA from 1 species